CAUUACCGAGUUUACAACUCCCAAACCCCUGUGAACAUACCACUUGUUGCCUCGGCGGAUCAGCCCGCUCCCGGUAAAACGGGACGGCCCGCCAGAGGACCCCUAAACUCUGUUUCUAUAUGUAACUUCUGAGUAAAACCAUAAAUAAAUCAAAACUUUCAACAACGGAUCUCUUGGUUCUGGCAUCGAUGAAGAACGCAGCAAAAUGCGAUAAGUAAUGUGAAUUGCAGAAUUCAGUGAAUCAUCGAAUCUUUGAACGCACAUUGCGCCCGCCAGUAUUCUGGCGGGCAUGCCUGUUCGAGCGUCAUUUCAACCCUCAAGCACAGCUUGGUGUUGGGACUCGCGUUAAUUCGCGUUCCUCAAAUUGAUUGGCGGUCACGUCGAGCUUCCAUAGCGUAGUAGUAAAACCCUCGUUACUGGUAAUCGUCGCGGCCACGCCGUUAAACCCCAACUUCUGAAUGUUGACCUCGGAUCAGGUAGGAAUACCCGCUGAACUUAAGCAUAUCAU
rnacentral:rRNA from 1 species